rnacentral:guide_RNA from 1 species
ACUCACUACAUAUAAGUCAUAGAGAU